ensembl:lncRNA
CAGAAAUGGCCUUAUCACCAAUGGGAGAAUUUUUGAAGAUUUACCAUCCAGUUGCAAAAAAGGAAAAGAAAAAAAAAAGUUGUGUAGUUAAGUCAGCCAGAAUGAAUUUGAACAGUCAGAUCAACAUAGAGCCUUUCCUGCCAUCCACUGUACAGUAGCUGUCCUUAGUGUACCAGUGGACAUCCUUGAAAGGAGCAGUUACGCUGAGCCAUCCACAAGGAACAUUGGUGAUUCCUUCAGCCGAAGAAGAAGAGAUAUGUCAGCAUGCAGAGGUUAUAACUACUUCAAGAAGCUCUGAGAAAGUUGGAAGGCAGACUGCAAAAGUAUUCCACUGAGGCAGAUUAAUUCAAACAUGGUCACAGGCGUAAAAAGACUUGGAAUGCACGUCCAUUAAACUGACAAACAGCUUGCCAGAUGGAUCCAAUGGAAGGAACCCUUUUCCUGACAACUAAUCCCUGAGUUGUGCAGUGUGAAGGGGAGAACGGAGCAGCUCGGUUACCAGCAAGAAGAACAGACAGCACCCUUUCUGUUUGGAAAGUCCUGAUAUUUGCCAUAUCUUUUGGAACUCUGGUUUGUGAGGAUAUAUCAUCCCGUGGAAAAAGGUAAAUGAACCCCCUUUAUUCAAACUUUAUGGCGACAUUUAUGGGAGAGCCACAGGAGGCAACUGCAAGUUUUGUUAGCAAGGUGGUAACAGUAGAGUGUGAUUGUUUCGUGGACCAAAAGCUUCCUGCUGUGAUCCCUGUUCUUAUUUCAUAAUGACUGAACCUGGGACUUUGACCUCUUAACCUACAGUGGCAGCUGAGAUUACUGAGACUGAAAAGUUAAGAAGCCUGGAAAGAAAAGGAGGACGCUGCAGAAAUACAGGCAACAAAGAGACAGAAGAAAUGAAGGGAAAUGGAGAGAUAUACACUAAGAAGAUGAGCCAGUAACACCCUUCUCAGAAGGUGGCAUCCAAAAUGGAAAUAAAUUCUCAUUUUCUGAGAGCAUUUGAUCUACUUACUUCAGAUCAUGCCGACUGACUACAGUAUAAGAAUGGUCAUCCAAUGUGGGGGUGCACAUAAAAGAUUCUGCAAAACUGAGCCUACUGACUGCUGGAGCAUGCUGCCCAAUAUAUCAUGUUUAUGCAAUGAAGAAGCAUGGAUCCACAUCACUCAGAUCUUACCUUUAAAAUGGCAGUGAAGACCUUGAAAUUGUAAAUGAGGUUGGCUGGCUGACAUAUAUAAUAUGAAGAUUCUUUUUGUAUGGAAAGAAGGCACGUACAAGUAUUGUUGAAGCAUUUGUAGUAACUUCAGCUAUGCUUCAUGAGAAGUGAUCUUGAGAAGCAGCAGUAGUACAGCCACCAAAUACAAGAGGACACAUUUUCAUUGUGUUUAGAAGUCAUGAAUGUCAUAGAACAAAGGACAGCUUGGAAAAGUUUUAGGACAUGAAGACAGAAAUAUUCCAAGACUUACUCUUAGGCUCCUACGUGCUUUUAAACAAACAAACAAACAGAUGAAUUUGUUCCCGAAUUUUACUGCUUUCAAAUCUUUGCUAACUUUUGAUUCAAUUUCCUAGUGGCAAGUGGUUUUAGUAAGGGUUUUUUUGGUGUCGGGGAGAAGAUGAAUCAGAACUUUUCGAGUUGGACAAUUUUCCAGAUGGCAUUUUCCUUUUGUACAAACUUUCUCUAAUAUCUGUAAAAAUGACAGAAACCUUCAGAAGAUUGUUUAUUUUUUCUCCCUGCAUUAACAUCUCUGAGCAUGUUCAUAUGAGUCACAGGUUGAUGACCUACGUCUAUCUCCUUAUGAAACAGCUUCCCUAUUACCAAAUCUAUCAUCACAACUGGCACUGACACCAUUUCUUGAAGUGUUAUCUCUGACAUGAUGUUAUCUCUGACAUGAAGGAGCAGACAAGGAACUGAUGCUUCAAAUUUUGUCUAGAUGCAACUGCUUCAGCUGAAAAACUUUGGAAAAUUCUUAACGUAUUCACUCAUUAGCAUAGAAAAAUAUUUUCUAGCCUUAAUUUAAAAUAAUUAUGAACUAUGACUGUCAAAUAAAUGUCAAAUAAGUUUGACAAAGAGGGGCUGCUGUAUCUGCCAUCUAUUGAAAAUUUGUCCCAAUUUGCCCAGGUUCAUGCAGCUAAAUACAGACUUUUUAUUUUUCAGCAUUGCUGUUCCCUGAAGACUUCUUCUAGCCUUUGCAUGCUUCAGGUUUUGCAGUGAAGAUGUUGGCUGUUCCUGGCUGAAAGGGGAGAGGAGAGGAAAGCAGCCUGACAUAGAUGGAAAGGGCAGAAGAAGUAUAUCUGCUUACAAAAGAGAAGUGUGGGAGAGCUGAGGAGUGGGAACCCAAGGUAGAGGAUCUUGUGGCAAGAAUCUGAAAAUGAAGCUUGUGUCUGUACAAGUGUUUGGAGUGAGACUCAAGUUUUUGUGCCUGAUUUCUAAGUUGUCCAGGUAUUGCAUUCAUUGUGUCAUUAUGCUUCAGCUAAUAAAUAUCUGCUGAAAAAUAAA